UAGGUUUGAACUAAAAAUUGAACCAAUCAGAUUUAUUAAAUCGUGGUUUGAGAAGCGUUUUUCAAAUGAAAGACUGAUUCAAACCUAGCUCAAAUCGAAUCUCAAGUUGAAUCACGACUAUGAAUACGACCCUAAGAUCGUAAUACCACUUAA